ACCGUUCGAAGUGGCCGAAGUAUGGAGCAUAUACAGAUGUGAGUUCUUGCUUCAGUGUGCGUGGUCAGCCUAUCCCCUCCAUAGCUGUAGCGCGUUGCAUCGUGGUGCGACUGGUAUCACUGCUACGGAGUGCUCCGGUUAGUGCGUGAUACGUUGCCGACUCGGUUGGAUUCGCUCGUUGUUGUUUCGCGACGUUGAAAAACAGUGAAUGUCGUGACGCGGUAUGUGUCGAUUGUCGGUGCGUCUCGUCGACGUCGCCGCCGAACGUGUGUGAUCCAUCGCCCCGUGAAUCGUCGGCGAUCGCCCGAGGACAGUUUAAAUCGGUGUUGUUACGUAGUAUUUACGUAGUAUUUACGUAGUACCCUCGUAGUACAGACACCUUAUUGCGCGGUUUGCCUCGCCUCGUCCCGUCUUGCCUUGGCUCGCCUCGUCCAAGUCUCGUCUCGCCCGUCCGGUCGUCUCCCUGGUGUCUCGCUGGAACACGAAGGUGCAUGCUACCGUAGAUCGAGCGGAUCAGCACGCCUCGCGAUAUACAGGCGGAUGAUGUUGGAUCGCGACACGGCGAUACAUCUCGUCGCCGGAGGAGUGGCUGGCACGGCAGGAGCAAUAGUAACUUGUCCACUUGAGGUAGUAAAAACCCGAUUGCAGUCAUCAUCUUCCGGUUUUCAUCCACCACCCGUAAGCAAAGAAUUCACAUCUGGUCAUCCAACAUGCAAAGGUUCACCAACACCUGAACAACGCAGAAGGCUAUGCACUGGAUACCCCAGGUAUUCCAGUCAUUUUGUAGCUCUCUCGCAUUUUGGCGUCUCGACUUCACCUCCAGAUUCUUCCCGGCACGCGCCGGGCAUCUAUCAAUGCUUAAGGUACAUCAUCAAGAAUGAGGGUGCACGAGGACUGUUUAAAGGUCUUGGUCCGAAUCUCAUUGGCGUGGCACCUUCCAGAGCGAUCUAUUUCUGCGCGUACUCCAAAAGCAAGGUCGCGUUCAAUGCGAUUCUGCCACCUGACACUCCGAUCGUCCACGUUUUCGCCGCAUCCUGCGCUGGUUUCAUCGCGUGUACAUUGACAAAUCCGAUUUGGUUCGUAAAAACCAGACUACAGCUGGAUCACCGAUCGCAAAAAGUCACAGCGAUAGAAUGCAUGCGGAGGAUAUAUCAACAAUCGGGUAUCCUGGGAUUCUACAAAGGUAUCGUGGCAUCCUAUGUAGGCAUAAGUGAGACUGUGAUACACUUUGUGAUAUACGAAGCUGUGAAGGCAUGGCUAGCUACACAUAGGUCGCGGGCUUCUCAGACAGACGAUAGAAAGACGUUCCGUGAUUUUAUCGAAUUUAUGGCGGCAGGUUCAUUUUCGAAAACGAUAGCCUCAACUAUUGCCUAUCCUCACGAGGUCGCAAGAACCCGUUUGCGAGAAGAAGGCACCAAAUAUCGCACAUUCUGGCAAACUUUGAACACUGUAUGGAUGGAGGAGGGUAUGAAGGGUCUCUAUCGUGGCCUUGGCACUCAGCUAAUUCGACAGAUUCCAAAUACCGCUAUCAUAAUGGCAACAUACGAAGCGGUAGUGUACGUGCUGACUCGACACUUCCAUCCGGUUACAGUAAAAUCAAGUACCGAUGCGACAUCGGAAUUCUACAACGAAGCUAAAGCGAAGAGAGAGCUGGCCUAGGAUUUGCUUACGGCCCCCGAGUAAAGGGCCACCUAUCAACUAUUUCCCUCUUUUCCAGUAGACGAAUACCACACAUACUUGAGGCAGCAUAAAGUUUCGUCGCACGUCUAGGCGCAUCGAAAGCAGCUGGAAAUGCGUUCAAUGUCCUAAUCGUUGCUCCAAAAGGUACUCAAAAAGAUAGCAUGUACAUAUCCCAGGCAUGGACCCGCUGUAUCUCGCAAGGAAAGAAAGGGAAAGGGAGAGAAAAAUGAAUUAAGGAAAGCAGAUUUAGCGUCGAAAUAGACGAAGGCUGAGACUUCGCUUCUCGCGAAAAUGUGGACGUGCAUGUAUAUCAUGAACAAAUGGACUUGUAUUAUAUGCUACAAGAUUUAUUUGAUGCAAGAUUCUCUGCUCUAGAAUCAAAACUCGCUCCGAGCCCGAAACGUGUGAAGUUCACUAUAAUAGUCACUGUAGAUUUUAGAUCUCUGACGAGUUUUGAUUCCGGUGCUAUUUUUUCCACAAUUUGUAGGUUUUUUCUUGCAUCUCAUCCUUUUUUUUAUUUAUAAGAAAAGAUUUUUAAAAAAUCUGAAGCUGUAAAAUUGCAGAUGUAUAGGAAUGGAUUCUAUUUGUUACCGUACAAUGCUCGAUAAAAGAGCAGCAAAUAUAAUAGUUUGUGAUUUACACCAGGCGCUUAGAAUUUCUAAGUUGCUUCAAAUAAAAUCGCUAUGUUAGAAAGUGUUUAUUUUAAAGCUCGAUUCUCUCGUGACAUGGGUUGUGUGACGUCAGAGGCGAGAAAUGACAUGUAAAAAGUUUCUGCGUUAUAGCUAUAUCUUGUACUUUUCCCUUAAAAACAUAUUUUCGUAUUCUUAAAACUUGUAAAAAAUACCAGAAAAUAAGAUAUCUGUCCAAUAAAUCGUAAAGGUGUAAAAUAAUUCUUGUAAAAUAAUUCUUGAAAUAAUGGUCACUGUUCAGCUAUCAGAAACAACUAGAUCUAAUAAUCUGGUAAUUUCUGAUAGGUAAGCAGUAUACCAUUUUACACUUUUAUGUGAUUUAUUGGACAAAUAUCUUACUUUCUGGUAUUUUUUACAAGUUUUAAGAAUACGAAAAUAUUAUGUUUUUAAGGAAAAAGUACAGGAUAAUGCUAUACGACGCAAGAAAUUUUUUACAUGUCAUUUUUCGCCUCUGACGUUAUAAUUCAAUAUGGCUGCAGAGAGACAACCGAGUCUUAAGUGAUUCUGUUUAGACAUGAUAUAUUAUGAGUCCGUUCCUUAAAGGCUUCAAUACUUCCUCUCUAGAAUUCUAAUGAAAAUCAUAUUACAUGCUUAUAAAAUUGUGAUAAAUAUUUUGAUAUAUUGAAUUUUGUGAAAAAAUUUUUUAUUUUAUAUCCCAUUUAAAUUUUAAGUGAUGUUAUAUCAUACUUUGAGUAGUAAUAUUGAAAACAAUAAGAACUACUUUAUUCUGAUAUUAGCACAUUUAGAAAAUUUGUUAUCAAUAAUAACAUACUUGCAAAAUUGUAAAAUUAUAACUAAAUGUUUAUAAUUUUUCUAGUUCAAUUAUAUUUGUUAUGUGGCCCAUUCUGUUAUAUUUAUACAUUAUAUAUGAAGCAAUUUCAAACAAUUCUCGGAAUUAACUGAUACAAUAUUUGUAAUUAAAUAACAUAUAAAAUGAUGAAUUUUAAAUUCUGCCAAAACAUCACAACAUGAGCAGAGACAUUAAUCGUGUUAUCAUAAAUAUAUGAUAACAGUAAUAAAAAUAAUUUCAAGUUUAGUACACUAAAAAAACAAUUAUUAUCUUUUGCAAUGUAUGAUUUAGAAUGCAACAGCACAAUUGAAAAACUUCUUGCAAAA
rnacentral:misc_RNA from 1 species